rnacentral:rRNA from 1 species
AGUGAACGCUGGCGGUAGGCCUAACACAUGCAAGUCGAACGGCAGCACAGGAGAGCUUGCUCUCUGGGUGGCGUGUGGCGGACGGGUGAGGAAUACAUCGGAAUCUACUCUGUCGUGGGGGGUAACGUAGGGAAACUUACGCUAAUACCGCAUACGACCUACGGGUGAAAGCAGGGGACCUUCGGGCCUUGCGCGAUUGAAUGAGCCGAUGUCGGUUUAGCUAGUUGGCGGGGUAAAGGCCCACCAAGGCCACGAUCCGUAGCUGGUCUGAGAGGAUGGUCAGCCACACUGGAACUGAGACACGGUCCAGACUCCUACGGGAGGCAGCAGUGGGGAAUAUUGGACAAUGGGCGCAAGCCUGAUCCAGCCAUACCGCGUGGGUGAAGAAGGCCUUCGGGUUGUAAAGCCCUUUUGUUGGGAAAGAAAUCCAGCUGGCUAAUACCCGGCUGGGAUGACGGUACCCAAAGAAUAAGCACCGGCUAACUUCGUGCCAGCAGCCGCAGUAA